rnacentral:rRNA from 1 species
GGGACGUGUCGGAUUAUUGGGCGUAAGGGCGCGUAGGCGGCUUUGCAAGUCAGAUGUGAAAGCCCCGGGCUUAACUCGGGAAUUGCAUCUGAAACUGCUUAGCUUGAGUCCUGGAGGGGGUAGUGGAAUUCCCAGUGUAGCGGUGAAAUGCGUAGAUAUUGGGAGGAACACCUGCGGCGAAGGCGGCUACCUGGACAGUGACUGACGCUGAGGCGCGAAAGCUAGGGGAGCGAACGGGAUUAGAUACCCCGGUAGUCCUAGCCGUAAACGAUGGGCACUUGGUGUUGGGGGUAUUGAGUCCCCCGGUGCCAGAGUUAACACGUUAAGUGCCCCGCCUGGGGAGUACGGUCGCAAGACUGAAACUCAAAGGAAUUGACGGGGGCCCGCACAAGCGGUGGAGCAUGUGGUUCAAUUCGACGCAACGCGAAGAACCUUACCGGGGCUCGAACGGUAACUGCAAUUCCUGGAAACAGGAAGUUCUCUUCGGAGACGGUUAUCGAGGUGCUGCAUGGCUGUCGUCAGCUCGUGUCGUGAGAUGUUGGGUUAAGUCCCGCAACGAGCGCAACCCUUGCCCUUAGUUGCCAUCAGGUUAUGCUGGGAACCCUAAGGGAACUGUCGGCGAAAAGCCGGAGGAAGGUGGGGAUGACGUCAAGUCCUCAUGGCCCUUACGUCCCGGGCUACACACGUGCUACAAUGGUCGGUACAAAGGGUUGCCAACCCGCGAGGGGGAGCUAAUCCCAAAAAGCCGAUCUCAGUUCGGAUUGCAGUCUGCAACUCGACUGCAUGAAGGCGGAAUCGCUAGUAAUCGCAGAUCAGAACGCUGCGGUGAAUACGUUCCCGGGCCUUGUACACACCGCCCGUCACAUCACGAAAGUGGGUUGUACUAGAAAUCGCUGAGCUAACCCGCAAGGGGGGCAGGCGCUUAAGGUAUGAUCCAUGAUUGGGGUGAAGUCGUAACAAGGUAACC